ACGGGUGAGUAACGCCUAGGAAUCUGCCUGGUAGUGGGGGACAACGUUUCGAAAGGAACGCUAAUACCGCAUACGUCCUACGGGAGAAAGCAGGGGACCUUCGGGCCUUGCGCUAUCAGAUGAGCCUAGGUCGGAUUAGCUAGUUGGUGAGGUAAUGGCUCACCAAGGCGACGAUCCGUAACUGGUCUGAGAGGAUGAUCAGUCACACUGGAACUGAGACACGGUCCAGACUCCUACGGGAGGCAGCAGUGGGGAAUAUUGGACAAUGGGCGAAAGCCUGAUCCAGCCAUGCCGCGUGUGUGAAGAAGGUCUUCGGAUUGUAAAGCACUUUAAGUUGGGAGGAAGGGUUGUAGAUUAAUACUCUGCAAUUUUGACGUUACCGACAGAAUAAGCACCGGCUAACUCUAUGCCAGCAGCCGCGGUAAUACAGAGGGUGCAAGCGUUAAUCGGAAUUACUGGGCGUAAAGCGCGCGUAGGUGGUUUGUUAAGUUGGAUGUGAAAUCCCCGGGCUCAACCUGGGAACUGCAUCCAAAACUGGCAAGCUAGAGUAUGGUAGAGGGUGGUGGAAUUUCCUGUGUAGCGGUG
rnacentral:rRNA from 1 species